rnacentral:rRNA from 1 species
GUGACUGCGUACCUUUUGUAUAAUGGGUCAGCGACUUAUAUUUAGUAGCAAGGUUAAGCGAAUAGCGGAGCCGUAGCGAAAGCGAGUGUUAACUGCGCGUUUAGUUGCUAGGUAUAGACCCGAAACCCGGUGAUCUAGCCAUGGGCAGGUUGAAGGUUGAGUAACAUCAACUGGAGGACCGAACCCACUAACGUUGAAAAGUUAGGGGAUGACUUGUGGCUGGGGGUGAAAGGCCAAUCAAACCGGGAGAUAGCUGGUUCUCCCCGAAAUCUAUUUAGGUAGAGCCUCGGACGAAUUCCAUUGGGGGUAGAGCACUGUUAAGGCUAGGGGGUCAUCCCGACUUACCAACCCUUUGCAAACUCCGAAUACCAAUGAGAACUAUCCGGGAGACACACGGCGGGUGCUAACGUCCGUCGUGAAGAGGGAAACAACCCAGACCGCCAGCUAAGGUCCCAAAAUAUUGCUAAGUGGGAAACGAUGUGGGAAGGCAUAGACAGCUAGGAGGUUGGCUUAGAAGCAGCCACCCUUUAAAGAAAGCGUAAUAGCUCACUAGUCGAGUCGGCCUGCGCGGAAGAUGUAACGGGGCUAAGCAAUAUACCGAAGCUGCGGAUACGUGUUUACACGUAUGGUAGGGGAGCGUUGUGUAAGUGGAUGAAGGUGGAUUGAGAAGUCUGCUGGACAUAUCACAAGUGCGAAUGCUGACAUGAGUAACGAUAAUGGGAGUGAAAAACUCCCACGCCGGAAGACCAAGGUUUCCUGUCCCAUGCUAAUCAGGGCAGGGUAAGUCGGCCCCUAAGGCGAGGCAGAAAUGCGUAGUCGAUGGGAAACGGAUUAAUAUUUCCGUACUUAUAUAAUCAGUGAUGGAGGGACGGAGAAGGCUAAGCAAGCUUGGCGUUGGUUGUCCAAGUGAAAGCAAGUAGGCCGAGUGUUUAGGUAAAUCCGGAC